CUGCACACAAGGCAGAAUGAUAUAUUAAAAGUAACAUUGCAAACACUUAAGCAAGCAAUUUCCUAACAAUGGGAUAGUGUGUAGGAUAUAUGAUGUCUUGUGUAAAAGG